rnacentral:rRNA from 1 species
GAAGGAUCAUUACCGAGUGCGGGAACCCAGUCGGGUCCCAAUCUCCCACCCGUGUCUACCACACCUAGUGUUGCUUUGGCGGGCCCACUCCUCCGGUGUUCCGCCGGGGGGGUCGUCCCGGGGCGCGGUGUGCCCCCGGGGCCCGUGCCCGCCAGAGGCACUCACUGUGAACGCUUUUGUGAAUGCGAGGAUUGUCUGAGUGACGAAAUGCAAUCGUUCAAAACUUUCAACAAUGGAUCUCUUGGUUCCGGCAUCGAUGAAGAGCGCAGCGAAAUGCGAUAAGUAAUGUGAAUUGCAGAAUUCCGUGAAUCAUCGAAUCUUUGAACGCACAUUGCGCCCUCUGGUAUUCCGGGGGGCAUGCCUGUCCGAGCGUCAUUGCGAACCCUCAAGCACGGCUUGUGUGUUGGGCCGCCGUCCCCUCGUUUGGAGGGGACGGGCCUGAAAGGCAGCGGCGGCGUCGCGUCCGGUCCUCGAGCGUAUGGGGCUCUGUCACGCGCUCAAGGAGGGGUCCGGCCGGGGCCAUAGCCUCUGAAGGUCAAUUCUUCCAAGGUUGACCUCGGAUCAGGUAGGAGUACCCGCUGAACUUA